UAUUAAAGGAUAAUAGUAUUCCACUGGUCUUAGGCACCAACAAUCUUGGUGCAAAUCCAAGUAAAAGGUAAUG
rnacentral:tRNA from 1 species